AUGGCUCAGGGAUAGAGCACUUGACUAACACACAUGAAGCCCUAGGUUCCACUCCUAGU
rnacentral:tRNA from 1 species